GAAUGAUUCCCCUGUGAAGUCCCUUGUUUACUGUAUUUGUAAUUAGCCACCAAGAACUUGAGUAACCGGUUUCCGAGGAGAACAUAUAUCCUGAAUCAGUUCCUGGACAUUUGUUUGAGGUCUUGUAAGGGAAACUGAAGGGAAUUGUGUAUUGAACAGGAUGGCUUAGACCUGCUCAACUUCUGAGAAUUGAGGCAAAGUGGGCAAUCCAGAUGUAUCACUUGACUUUCUGACUACUGGAAGAAUUUCCCUUCAUUAUUGCACACCAGGGGUAUCCCACAGAGAGAAGAGAUCAAAAGAAGGAUGAUCCCCACACAGAUGUGCAAGUGACUAAUUCAGUCCAGAAGGAAACCAGGCCCCCCUCACAGUGUUGAGAGAAGACAGCACCAGCCAGCCUUGUAGCCUGAGAAGCUGUCUCCUCACCAGCUUUCUCCUCACCAACUCUUCAAAGAUCCAGUUGAUACAAAAUGCACAUGCUAAAAUAUGAUUCCCCAGUCCUGUCCAAGCUGAUGUGGUCUUCUCCAAGCCCCCAGUCCUGACCAAGCUGAAUCUCCUUUGUCACUCAUGGGGCAACAGGGACUUACCUGCCAGUGCAGGAGAAAGGAGAGAUCCUUUAGAACAGGAGCUAAGAUGCCAGGAGCUCACGCAAAAUGCUUGAAGAAAGGGGCUUAGCCAGAAACCGAACUGGGAGUUGAUGCCCAGUUUAGGAAGAGUUCAAAUCGAGGAGUCAGAAGCAGCAAAUUCUACAUCAGAUCCACAAAUUCUUAACUAGAAGAAUAAAAACAAGUCAAAUCAAGUUGGGCUCAAAAGGAAUAUAGGGGCAGAAGAGGUGAUGUGCAGAUGGGUGUGCCUGGCCAAAUGGUGGGGGUAGGCACAGGCAGCACACACCAUUGAUUUCUUUGCUUCCUUUUUUAAAGAUUUUAUUUUUAAGAGCAGUUUCAGGUUCAAAGCAAAGUUAGAAGUACCAAGAUUUUUUCCAUAUACCCCUGUCCCUACAUAUGCAUAGCCCCCUCAUUAUCAAAAUCCCCUAUCAGAGUGUAAUAAAUGACAAUGAACCUACGUUGGACGCAUCAUAAUCACGUAAAGUCCUGGUGUACAUUAGCUUUCACUCUUGGUGUUGUACAUUCUAUGAAUUCGGACAAAUGUGUAAUGGCAUGUGUCCACUGUUAUGGUAUCAUACAGAGCACUUUCACUGCCACAAAAAUUUUCUGCUCUCUGCCUAUAGUUGGGGAUCAGAAACCAAUACCCCAAAAUAUGGCAUUUUGACAUGCUGAACUGAAGAAGCUUUAAUGUCUCUCUGACCUUCCUUCUUCUGCCCCACCUUCUUUCCCAAAACCUAGGAUUAUCUUGUUCCCUUAUCUGCUUAAAGUCCGAACCUGCCAAAGAAGAAAACAAUGACCUCUGCACCCUUCCCUGAGUUUCCAUUAACUGAACCUAGAUUCCAGGAAGAAAGAUUGAAGUCUGUCAACACACCUGGACAGACUUUUAUCACAAACCAUUGUCCACUCUGCUAACCCAACAGAUUUUGUCCCAGACAACUGUAUUCUCUUCAAGCCCAUUGAAUUCUCCCUAGGAAUCAUGCAUUGCCCCUCAACAGAAUUCCUCUUGUCCCUACUCACAUAGUUUGCUUUGCCGGGAUCCUAAGAUUUCUUGGAAAACCUUAGGACCAGGAGGUAUUCUUGUGGACUCAUUCUGUUUUUCUGUAACCUCAAGAUGGUGUAUAAGCUUCUGCCCCCUAAUCGGGGGUUGGAGUAAUCACUGUGUCUCCUGUGUGAAAGUAAACACAUUUGUAUGCCCUUUUCCCAAUUAAUCUACCUUCUGUGAGUUGAUUUUUUAGCGAAACUUCAGAGGGCUCUUUGACUCCUACACUAUUUAUCCCUCCCCCUCCCUUCAGCCCCUAACAACCACUGAUCUUCUUACUGCCUCCACAGUUUUACCUUUUCCAGAAGGUCAUAUAGUUGAAAUAUUACAGUCCGUUACCUUUUCAGAUUAGCUUCUGUCACUUAGUAAUAUAUAUUUAAGAUUCCUCCAUGUCUUUUCAUGGCUUGAUAGUUCAUUUCUUUUCAGUAUUAAAUGAUAUUCCAUUGUUUGAUGUACCACAAUUUAUCCCUUACCUACUGAAGGAAUACCUGGUUGUUUCCAAGAUUUACCUGGCCACCUAUGGAAUACUGUAGUUUCCAAAACUGGCCAUAAGAUAUUUCCUACUAUUCUUGCAUAUUGCAGUUGCAUAAGAAUUGCGUCCUAAGAUUUUCCAGAAAUUUGGCACUUCUCCAUCAAGACAUGGAUUCUACUUCCUCUUCCCUUAAGUCUAGGCAGAUUUGUGACUGGUAACCACAGAGCAUGGUAGAAAUUACACGGAGUGAUUUCUGAGGUUAUAAAUGAUGAAGCUCAUCUACCUCACAGGAACAUAGGCAUUGAGUCCUGAGCCACCAAGCAAGUGUCCAACUACUCUGAAACUGCCAUGUGUUAAGUGAAAAGAUAGCAAGGGGAAGCACUGAAGCUGCAUCGUGAGCGAGAGAUGCCCAGCCACCAGGCAGCUGCUCCACCCACCUCACCCUCAGCCUACUUUCCUCCACCCUCAACCUUGUACUUUUGUUGCUCCAACCACUGUCUGGUUACAAUCAGAGGAGAGAUUCCAAGACAGUAGCACCCAGCUAAACCCUUCCUGAAUUCGCAACUCACAAAAGUUAUAAAAGACAAUAAAAUGACUGUUCUUUAAGUUAUAUGUUUUGAAGUGAAUUAUUAUUCAGCAACAAAUAACCCAUAACAUCAUCCUUUUUUCCUCACCUCCACUUCCCAGUUUUGCCUCCAGUCUGAGUACUUAAAGUUAGGCCUACAAAUCCAGUCCUUUCCCUUCAAAGGAAACUUAUUAUAAACUGAGGCAUCCAGAAAAAGGCUGUCAUGAGGUUUUAAUGUCAUUCUCUGCUCUCUUCAUU
rnacentral:lncRNA from 10 species